rnacentral:rRNA from 1 species
GAUCCUGGCUCAGAGUGAACGCUGGCGGCGUGCUUAACACAUGCAAGUCGAACGAGAACGGCUCUAGCUUGCUAGAGUGUCAGCUAAGUGGCGGACGGGUGAGUAAUGUAUAGUUAAUUUGCCCCUUGGAGAGGGAUAGCCACUGGAAACGGUGAUUAAUACCUCAUACUCCUUCUACCUUAAUGGUAGUUGGGAAACGUUUUUUCGCCAAGGGAUAAGAUUAUAUGGUAUCAGGUAGUUGGUGGGGUAAGAGCCUACCAAGCCAAUGACGCCUAGCUGGUCUGAGGGGAUGAUCAGCCACACUGGAACUGAGACACGGUCCAGACUCCUACGGGAGGCAGCAGUGGGGAAUAUUGCACAAUGGAGGAAACUCUGAUGCAGCAACGCCGCGUGGAGGAUGACGCAUUUCGGUGUGUAAACUCCUUUUAUAUGGGAAGAUAAUGACGGUACCAUAUGAAUAAGCACCGGCUAACUCCGUGCCAGCAGCCGCGGUAACACGGAGGGUGCAAGCGUUACUCGGAAUCACUGGGCGUAAAGCGCGCGCAGGCGGUCUUUUAAGUUGGAUGUGAAAGCCUAUGGCUCAACCAUAGAACUGCAUCA